AUGCCCAUAUUAUGCUAAAAAAGCGGUUCUCGUACGACCACCGAAGUUAAGCAACUUCGCGAAUGCUCAGUACCGAGAUGGGUGAACGCUUGGGAAUAUCAGGGGCUGUAA